GGGGGUGUGGGAUAAGAUUUGAAGGAACAGGAGGAGUUCAGCAGGCAGACAGAAGAAGGUUCUAGGGAGAGCGGCCCAGAGCUGGGAGAGAAUGAUUGGAUUGGAUCAGCCAGUAAUGGAGAGUGACUGAAAGAAAUUCAGUGGGCCGAGGUUGCUAGAAGAAUGAGGUCUUCUCCAGAGGUGGGAGGGGCAGACCACACAGGGUCUCCAACGCCAGGCUUGUGGGGCUCAGACCUUCACUUGGGAGCACUGGGGAGCCAGAGAAGAGCUGUGAGCAGGGAAGGGAUAGGGUCAACUCUAGUGACAUCACACUGAUGGACAGGAGAUACGAGGCCAGGGAGGAGGCUGGGCGGAGAGUCCAGAGCGGAAAGUGAGUGCCCAGCUCUCGCUUCCUUAUGUCUCUCUCUGCUUCUUACGGCCGCUGUCCCUGAAUGUUUCUUCCCUGUCUGGGUCUGGGCUGUGGGCUUCCUGCAGAGGGCUGGGGGGUCCUCACCCCCUUUUUCUCCCCGCAGAAGGCCAGGGAUGUACCGCCUACGACGUAGCUGUCAACAGCGACUUCUACCGGAGGAUGCAGAACAGCGAUUUCUUGCGGGAGCUCGUGAUCACCAUCGCCAGGGAGGGCCUUGAGGACAAAUACAACUUGCAGCUGAAUCCGGCAGAACAUCCGCUCGGAGCAGCGUCCUCGGAUCCAGGAGCUGGGGGACCUGUACACGCCCGCCCCCGGGAGAGCUGAGUCAGGCCCUGAAAAGCCUCACCUGAACCUGUGGCUGGAAGCCCCCGACCUCCUCUUGGCCGAAAUUGACCUCCCCAAACUGGAUGGAGCCCUGGGGCUGUCGCUGGAGAUCGGGGAGAACCGCCUGGUGAUGGGGGGCCCCCAGCAGCUGUAUCAUCUAGACGCUUAUAUCCCGCUGCAGAUCAACUCUCAUGAGAGCAAGGCAGCCUUCCACCGGAAGAGAAAGCAAUUAAUGGUGGCCAUGCCGCUUCUGCCGGUGCCUUCUUGAUCAGGGUGUCUCCUUGUGCUUCUGAGAUGUGGAGAAGAGGCUGCUGGCUUCCCUAAAGUUGAAAUAAAAGAUUUUUGCCUUU
rnacentral:sRNA from 1 species